CUGUCCGUUCGGGCAUUUGCCCGAACGGCCGCUCUAUCCUGUGAUGAAGUGGGCCGGGCGCUGCACUUAUCUGCUAUUAGAAGGAAAAUAUAUUUUACGAGCAAGGAGCACACAGUUCACAUAGUUGAAGUGCGCACGCCGAAGCUAUUUCCAGAGGGAGGGGGAGAGAGAGCGAGUGAGUGAGGAGAAGGUAAUACUUUGUUUAGCUUUACUGAUAAGAGUGUUGCUACGGAACGCAUUUUAGGACAUCAUGCGUUUGGAGCAUACGUGACUACAAACAAUGCGCUAUGGAGAAGGCAUAGGACAACGCAUGCAGCAAAGAUUAUGCAAUGUUGAGAAGAUGGAAUUAAAGAGAAGCAUAUCUUUGAUCUGACUGUCUGAAUGUUGCCAGCCAAUGGCCAAUUAAAGAUAUGCAAAUAAAGCAGGAGAGAGGAGGCAGAGGAGAAAACUGAGAGAGUUUCUAUGACACUGUGUGAUUUUUGUUCCCAUGAGCCAGCUGUAUUCUGAUUGGAUCUUUGCUGCACACCAACUAUAUUUUCUCCAAUCAAAACACAGAUCACUCCUAUGUAAGAAAAAAAUUCCUAGCUCUGUGCAGUGAGGAGGAAAGCAACAAAUAAAGUUUAAAGCAAUGA